AUGCCGCAGAGGGGAGGCCGGGCUGGGGGUUGCGGACUGUUGGGGUCUGGCGACGCCUCCCGCCGCAGGGCGUGGUCCGACAUGGCUUCCUUGCAGAUGGUUUUCCCUAAACGGCUGCCAGAGAAACGUUUCCCCAGGAACGGCGCCGUGUGUAGCGGCUCCCACAAUGGCUCCCCUGUAGACAACUCCACAGCGUCUCCUCUAUAGAGACCCCCUACUAUGACAUCUCCGCCUCCGUAGGUUUCUCCCAGAAAAGAUUUCCCUGUGGAGAACCUCCGCAGUGGGUUCUCUAUGCGUAACUCAUUUGCCUUCCCCUUGGAAUAUUUCCCCCAGAAAAGGUUAUCUAUGGAGACCCCCGCCCCCACAGUAUUCCCGUGGAUAUAACCCCCAAUUAGGUUCCCCCAGAAACGACUUCCAUAUAAAUCUCUCAUACAGUAGGUCUUCUCUAGAGCCUUUCCCUUGACAGCCGCGUCCCUAAAGAGUGCCCCCCUCCCGCCCCCUGCGUAUACACACGCUGACAGCAUCUUCCUUAUUGCGCAUUCCCCCACCUCCCCGUGCCCCAGACUGCAUCGCGACGCUCUCUCAGUCCACAAUAGGGAGCUCAGGUUGGGGGAAGGUGGAGGUCAUUAGGCUCGCAGGAGAGAAAACUAACCGGACAAAUAGGAAAAAGAGGCCAGAACUCCCGAAAUUAGCGGACCCCAACCCCUGAGGAGUUGGCAGACCCCCAAGCCCCUGAGUGCCUUUGGGGCUGACCUUGAUCGUCUGGGCAUUGUUUGCGAUGGAGCUGUUAUGGGGCCGCCCGCAGAGAACGGAGAUUGGAAUGAAGGAGCAUUUGCGGCCGAGAUCGUUGAGAGGGAAGAAAGGAGAGAGAGCGGAAUGGGCUUUGGGACUGCUAAACUGUCAUUAAAUCAGAAGAGCGA